UUCGUAGGCGGUGCGGUAAGUCGGAAGUGAAAUCUCUGGGCUUAACUCAGAGGCUGCUUUCGAAACUACCGUGCUAGAGUGCGGGAGAGGCGAGUGGAAUUGCAGGUGUAGCGGUGAAAUGCGUAGAUAUCUGCAGGAACACCCGUGGCGAAGGCGGCUCGCUGGACCGCAACUGACGCUGAGGAACGAAAGCUAGGGGAGCAAACAGGAUUAGAUACCCUGGUAGUCCUAGCCCUAAACCAUCAGGACUUGGGGUGGCCCGCGUUGGCGGGUCGUCCCGGAGCUAACGCGUUAAGUCCUGCGCCUGGGGAGUACGGUCGCAAGGCUGAG
rnacentral:rRNA from 1 species